rfam:Triticum aestivum genome assembly, contig: Triticum_aestivum_CS42_TGACv1_scaffold_222648_3B
AAUAUACUCCCUCCGUCCAAAAUUCUUGUCUUAGAUUUGUCUAAAUACGGAUAAGUCACGUUUUAGUAUUAGAUACAUCCGUAUCUAGACAAAUGUAAGACAAGAAUUUUAGGACGAAGGGAGUACCAA